ACGGGAAAACAUAAUUCCACCUUGUUAAAACAGGAAAAAAAAACUUACAUAGCAAAACAAGUGUGUUGUUGUUCAUAGUAGAAAUGUUGGAGUCAUCAACGUAGGAAAUUUGUCGACUAGUGAAACAAGAAGUUUGGCCUAAUUGUAACACACAAGAAGUUUGGCCUAAUUGUAAGUUGCUCCAUUCAAUUUUCUUCUAGCAGUUAAACUCUUUUUUAUUGCCAAAGGGUUCCGAAAAAACAAAUGUUGCUGUUUCUGUGGAAGGUAAACGGAAACCAAAAUCCCAUCAGACUAAGAACCGUCCAAAAGGAUAUUUUUCGUCGUUGUGAAACCUUGAAAGAAAACUAUAAUGCUGAAAUUAUAGUCUUAAUUCCUUUUCCAAAUGGUAUAGAAACAGCAACUUACUGCAAUGCCUAUGGUGAUGCUGCGAUAAAACAUUUUUUGAUGUUGGAUGAUUAUGCUGAAAAGUUUUAUGAGAACCAGGCAUGAAAGAGAAGAAGACAAUGGCUUAUUAUGAUACAACUGGUUUUCCUGAUCGAUGCACUAACAUCACUGAUGCUGCCUCAAUUGAAUCUCCCCAGAAAUCAUCACUGCCGGCUUUAUCAAAAGUUGUUACUGGUCAUUUCCCAGAAGAAAAAACAGCGCGAAAAACAGUCACAAGCGACUACUUCCCCCAUUGUUGACAACGUUGUGGAGGGAAUGUUAUGACUGAUCCGGGUAGUCAGCGCCCCUAGCGAGUGCCCGAAAUUUUGUCCGCGGAAAAAGCAGACGAACAGCCCAAAACAGGCCUAGCAGACGACAGUUCUGGGACCUUGCUAUGAAGAAUGUUAGACCAUGCUAGAAGCUAGGCAUCAGUCUGGUGACGACUAAGCUACGCCGAGGUCGUCGUAUGCUCUAUGAGAAAUACAAAGAUUCCACGUUCGACCUUUCUAUUCUUCCACUCGAUCGUAACAUGGCGCAGUUGUAAGCAAAUACGUACGUACUCCCUCUGGGUUUUUUUCUCCUGUUUUCGAACUCAUUGGUAGCCCUGACUCAUGCGUAUCGUUCGCUAAGGUUCGUCGCCCCUACACAGCAGCGGCUCCCUACUUAUUGUUUCCUACUUAAGAGGUGCCAGGCUCUCUUACAUGUCUGUGGAUACUAAAAUUCCGCCCAUACUUAAACGCAAUUUCCUACUUUAAAAAACCUGUUUCAUGUAAGAUUGGUGUAAGUAGUUAAGUAGGCUCAAUUAAUGGUCUAGCUUACUUAAAAUUAAUUUACAUACUUAUUUUCUAUUGGGAACAACCUCCUUAAAUAGUAUCCAUACUUAUCAGUUCUACAUACUUUCACAAAAGCCCUACUUGCCUAAUGCACCCACUUACAUUUCUACAGAAAACCAUCCUACUUCAAAUUAAGGAAAAUUAAUCAACAUGAAAGUCCUUCGUUUAUUAACAAUAACAAACCAACACACAAUAUAAACGGCGGAAUAAAUCAUGUUGAUGCUGCUGGUGCUCUGAAUUCCUGCUGACGCUAAAAAUUAGCUCACGACUCUUCUUCUAACUGUUGUGACCUGGUUACUAUGGGUUACUAUAGUGUAGUAUACCUGGUUACUAUGGGUUAUAACCUGGUUACUAUGGGUUAUAACCCAUAGGCCCAUAUGGGUUAUAACCUGGUUACUAUGGGUUAUAACCCAUAGGUCCAUAUGGGUUGCAACCCAUGGGGUUAUAACCCGGGUUAUAACCCAUAGUAACCAGGUCACAACAGUUAGAUGAAGAGUCAUGAGCUAAUUUUUAGCGGCAGCAGGAAUUCAAAGCACAAGCAGCAUCACCAUCUGGAUCAAGCACUUAGUUACGAAAAUGGCAGAUGUAACAGGCUAACCUAUUUCUUUAAAAGAUUAGCACAGAUUAAGAAACAAAUCAAAGUAAGAAUUUCCAAAUCUACGACGAUUCUUCUUCCAAAGGCAGUUCUUGUGCUUGCUGGUUUUCGUCGUCAUGCAAGACAAAUUUGUCAUACUUUUUCAGAAAAGUAACCAUACUCAAAGAGUCUUUCUGCACUGGUUUCUGUCUCGGAAAACCUUCUUGAUGAAGGCACAAACGAUCAAUUAGUGAAAGGACACCAUACAUGGCUGGAUAAUUACAGUCAGUCACGUAGUACACACUUAACAGGACGAUCCAACAAUGAUUAGCAUGGAGUGGAGAGAAUUUCCAUUAAAGAACACAAUGGCACUUGAGUUUACACCAGAGUAAUCGGGUUCAACGUUUUUUCCAACCUGAUUCACGAAAAGAAAAACUGGCUUUGCACCUUUCACACCGCGGCUUGUUGAACACAAAGCGUUAACUGCAAGCAGUACUUCAAGAUCCAUUUUUGCACCAUCAGCCCACUUUUGCCCGCCCUUAUCACUGUUUCUUUCCAGAAAGCGUCGAAAAGUAAGCAAUGUGCUCUCAAAUGCCUUCUGAAACUUUUCCUCGGUUAUGCAAGACAUGGGAUACAUCAUUAGAAAAUCAUCGAAAAUCAUCAUCGACAGCAGUAGAUAAAUUGCCGGAAAUAGAGUUGGCAGCAUCAUACUGGUUUAGGCCACCCGAAUUCCGCUUUGCACUCGCCUUCUGUUGAUUUCUUUUUAAGUUGUGAAUUCGUCCAUGUUUCUUGGAAUCUAUUUGAUUACCAACAGCUCGAACCACUUUAUGUUUCACAUUAUCUUCACAGUUAUUAUCUGCAAGGCAGGGGUGUUGUUUCACAAUCAUUUGAGCGUAACGUUUAUAAAUGCUCUUCCGCUGGUUCAACCGUUUAUCCAACGUCACAGUUUUCAAAAGGUGUUUUGCACACACCAAAAUAAAUGCAUUUAUGUGUUGUGACAGUUUUCCAGCCCUCAUGGCUGCAACGAUGUGCUGGUUGAUUUCCCAUUCUUCUUCUCCCUCAUUUAGGAGGGUAAGGAUAAACAGAUCUGCAAUAAAAAUAAUAAUUGAAUUAGAA